CUUCAGCGACCCCAACCACAGCGGCCGGUCCUCGGGCCGGUCCUGCCCAUAGGUCGCGAUCAACGCCUCGGCCUC
rnacentral:antisense_RNA from 1 species